GCAGACACAUUCCAGCCAAUCAGCAGCAGACCCUCACUCCCAGACCCUCCCACCUCCUGGACAGCUCACUAAGUAUGCAGCUUCAAAAUGGAUGCUGUCCAGGAGGUGGGAGGGUCUUGGAGGGAGGGUCUGCUGCUGAUUGGCUGGAAUGUGUCUG